GAAAAAGAAGAAAAAAGAGAAGAAAAGGAAAAAGUGAAAGAAAAAAGAAAUAAAAUAAUAAAAUAAAAGGAGUAAUCGGGUCGACCCGACCCGACCCGACCCGGAUCCGACCCAAACAGCAGCACCCAGCAGCAUCAGUAGUAGCCCACCAGUAGCCUCAAACCCCCCAAAAAAAAAGAAAGAAGAAAAAAGCAGAAAAAAGAAGCAGGCCAACUACCCAGCCCAAGUGCAGCCCAGCAGCAGAUCAAGCAGGCCAACCCAGGAGCCAGGCCCAACAGCGCCUAGCAGGCCAACCCAGUCCAGCAGUGCAGCCCCCAGGCCCAGUACAAACAGCCCAGCCCAGUCCAGAAAAAUGGGGAAGAAAAAGAAAAAGAAAAAAGAAAAAGAAAAAAAAAGAAGAAAAAACAAAAAAAAGGCCCGAAUUGCGUAGCCCGUUGGAUCAAGCCCAUAACUUUUGGCUUUUGUUGCGACACUCCAAGUCUGGAAUCACGUCAUUCUUAUAGAACGCAUUUAAGAGCUAGAACUAUGGAUGCUGAGCUCAACGAGAGUGAUACAAUUGAGGAUGUUUCAAUGAUACACCCCUGUCUUCUAGGAUAUGUUUUGAACAAUUGGACUGCUGUGGACCUUCUUGUAAUUUCUAAGUCCUCUCCAGAGUAAUGCCCAAUGUUACUUCUCCAUUUAUUUUGUGUUCCCCUAAAUAGUGGGAUUCCUUUUGUAAGAGCUUAUGUUUGCUAUUUAUCAUUUCAAUGGACAUUAAUGAAGAUGUAUUUUGUUA